GCCCUCGUAGAUCACCGGUAGAUCACCCACUACCCUUGUAUUUUUCACCAUGGAAUUUAGGUGGACGACGUGGGUUCGAAUCCCACCGAGGGCG